UUUCCCUAGCCACUCUGGGCAGCUCCCAAUCAAGUGUUAAAAACAAUACAGCGUUAAAGAUUAAUCACAGCUUAAAGAUUGACUUCGCAAACUAGGAAAGCAGGAAAGAGAAUCCAUAGCAGAAAAACUCUCAAAUCUCACAGCAACCAGAGCAGCUGAGGGAGUGGCUGGAGGGAAAAUGCCUCUUCCAUCCGGUGAGCACCUCGGGAGAAAAUUCAUAACAGAAAUGGGAGAAAAUUGGUUCUGAAAAAUAUCAAGGAUUUCCUUUGCCGACACUAUUACUGCUCAGCCAGGCUUCAAAUAUCUUGUUUAUUUAAGAAAAGAAAAGACAAUUAUGGCUUGAUCAAAUGAAAUCUUACAUGUUCUCCAGUCUUUUGUUCAUCUUUGUCACUAUGGCAAUGUCUCUAUGGCAAUACUGCAUAAUGAAAAAUAAACCAGACACAGAUCCCUUAUUCCUGUGACUGUAAUCUUU